UACGUAGGUGGCAAGCGUUGUCCGGAAUUAUUGGGCGUAAAGCGUGCGCAGGCGGUGCUGUAAGACCGAUGUGAAAUCCCCGGGCUUAACCUGGGAACUGCAUUGGUGACUGCAUCGCUCGAGUAUGGCAGAGGGGGGUAGAAUUCCACGUGUAGCAGUGAAAUGCGUAGAGAUGUGGAGGAAUACCGAUGGCGAAGGCAGCCCCCUGGGUCAAUACUGACGCUCAUGCACGAAAGCGUGGGGAGCAAACAGG
rnacentral:rRNA from 1 species